UGCAUAGUUUUGGCAAUUGGAUUUCACUCAAAACUCAAGAAAUGACUCCUCCCACAACAUUAUGAUGUUCCCCAAGUUUUGGACUUAAUACGAUAUCGAUUGUUGCAAGAAAUUGGACAAUUCAGGUUCGUACGAAGUUCUUACUGAAAUGCAGUGGUUGGUGCACUGUAUAGUUCUAGAGAUUGGAUUUCACUGAAACCUACCAAAUG
rnacentral:lncRNA from 1 species